GAUUUUAUAGUCUAAGAUAAGGAUAUUAAAUUGCAAGUUUAAAGGUAAAAAAUAAAUAUUUUUUAAAGUUU
rnacentral:tRNA from 1 species